rnacentral:rRNA from 1 species
CCUGGUUGAUCCUGCCAGUAGUCAUAUGCUUGUCUCAAAGAUUAAGCCAUGCAUGUCUCAGUGCAAGCCAAAUUAAGGUGAAACCGCGAAUGGCUCAUUAAAUCAGUUAUGGUUCCUUAGACCGUACCCACAUUUACUUGGAUAACUGUGGUAAUUCUAGAGCUAAUACAUGCAAACAGAGUCCCGACCGGAGAUGGGAGGGACGCUUUUAUUAGAUCAAAACCAAUCGGCCGGCUCGCCCGGUCCGUUUGCCUUGGUGACUCUGAAUAACUUUGAGCCAAUCACACGGUCUCCGUACCGGCGACRCGUCUUUCAAAUGUCUGCCUUAUCAACUGUCAAUGGAAGGUUCUGCGCUUACCAUGGUUGUAACGGGUAACGGGGAAUCAGGGUUCGAUUCCGGAGAGGGAGCUUGAGAAAUGGCUACCACAUCCAAGGAAGGCAGCAGGCGCGCAAAUUACCCACUGCCGGCACGGGGAGGUAGUGACGAAAAAUAACGAUACGGGACUCAUUCGAGGCUCCGUAAUCGGAAUGAGUACACAUUAAAUUCUUUAACGAGUAUCCAUUGGAGGGAAAGUCUGGUGCCAGCAGCCGCGGUAAUUCCAGCUCCAAUAGCGUAUAUUAAAGUUGUUGCGGUUAAAAAGCUCGUAGUUGGAUCUGUGUCCCACGCUGUCAGUUCACAACCCGUCUGUGCUUAACUGGCAUGCCCGUGCGGACGUCCUGUCGGUGGACGCGGCCGGGGCAGUAAGCGUGGCCUCCGGGCCCACCCCACUACUGGUGGUCCGAUCAAAUACUACCGCGGUGCUCUUAACCGAGUGUCGAGGUGGGCCGGCACGUUUACUUUGAACAAAUUAGAGUGCUUAAAGCAGGCAGUGUUAGCCUGAAUACUGUGUGCAUGGAAUAAUGGAAUAGGACCUCGGUUCUAUUUUGUUGGUUUUUGGAAUUUGAGGUAAUGAUUAAUAGGGACAGGCGGGGGCAUUCGUAUUGCGACAUUAAAGGUGAUAUUCGUGGACCAUCGCAAGACGAACCUAAGCGAAAGCAUUUGCCAAGGAUCCUACUAUGGGUAUUAUUCACUAAUUCACUAAUCAAGAACCAAAGUUUUACAUCAAAAAAGGUCUUUUUCGAGAAUUUUUUUCCCGCGAGACCCUUUGACGCAUCGAUUUCGGAAUAGUAGAAACUCCUAAGCUGGACCUUGCUCUUUGCUAAUAUGGGGUACCCGGCCCCCUCCUCUCCCCCCUCUGGCCUGUAGCUCUGUGACCAAGGGGGGCGGUGCAAAAGAUGUGAAAAACGUUUUGUCCUCGCCUGGCCGAACGAAAGGUGAUACGGAUGAUCGGUUUGUGCCAUAAAUACGAGGGGGUGAUCCCCCAACGUUUGUACCAGACUGAUUUUUUCUGAGUGGGGUUUCUGUCCCCCUGGAUAUUAUUUUAUUAUCUCAGCUUCUAUUAAACACGCAGAGGAUAUUUCUUCACGGUAAUUUCUCUGAUUUGUAACCCGUUGUCAUGUGAGUCGUUUCAGAGAAUUUAUUUCGGGGGGGGCUUCUGCUCCAUUGGACGUAGCUUCUGAACUAAAAGUGGUGGGGAAGUGAUUUCUUCACUAAAAUUCUUCGGGUCAGACACGCAUUCGAAUUGAAAUUGGUCAUUUGGAAAAUUUGCCUUUUGGGGGGCACAUGCUCCCCCUCCCCCGGUCGUAUCUUCUCAACUAGGCAUGAUGAAGAGUUCAAUUCUUAGUUAAAUUCGUUUGUGUUUYAGGCACCUUCGA